AAACUACGCAAAACCUGUUAUAUAGAUAUCAUCAUAUUGUAACUUGUUAUAUAGAUCCACAUCGAUAUUUUUAAAGGCGUAUGCAUGUACUGUAGGAACGGAACCAGUACAGCCAUACGUACUGUAGGAACGGAACCAUUACAGCCAUACACGGGGACCAAAAUUGGGUGCUUAAGUUUCUGGGGGAGUGAGUAAGUGAUGCACCUAACAUACAAAAAGCGCUCGACACUGCCAUGAAAGUUGCAUAGUUUGCUGUCGUUUGUGUAAUUUCAUCUGACACCUUUAUAGCGUUAAACUUUAUUUUCUGGUUUUGGGUGGAGUAGGUAGACAUGGCUGACCAAGAAAUUGGGCCCGUUGGGUUGGGCAAGAGGGCUGCAGCAGGUGCUGCAGUUUUCAAAGUGCGCGAGGCUGCAAUGGCUAUUCUUCAAACAGAAUCUACUGGUAACCUGAAAGUACAAAAACGGAGUGUCCCAUCGACUCCUUUCAUCGUACCAGAACCUUCCCUAAAACCAUACAAGCGGCCCCCCACUCUGCUAAUGCCAUCCCAGUUGGAGGAUUUACCUGUGAGGUGUGCGGCCAGAACUUCUUCUCUUUUCCUCAGAUGGUGAGACACAAACAGUUCCACGACGAAGAAAGGCCCUUUCCCUGUGGUGUGUGUGGGAAACGUUUCCUGAGCCGCAGCCACUACACUGAGCACCAGCGGGUUCACACAGGGGAGCGCCCCUUUCCUUGCGACCAGUGUGAGCGCUCGUUCACCACACACCACAACCUAAAGCGUCACCACACCAUCCAUGCCAAAGAGGAGGCGUACCGCUGCCGAAAGUGUGGCGUACUCUUCUGCCAGCGUCACGAGUACCCCAAUGGCAUACCUCAACCUGACCUCGAGCCUCGACCUGGGUUCGAAUCCAUGCCCACGAUGCAACCCACACCUCCCAUUCAGGUCACACUCACACCCAAGCAGCUUAAGAAGCUUAACAAGAAGAGCCAUAAUCUCUCAACCAAACAUGAUCAUUCUAAGAAGAAGAAGAAAAAGAGGAGAGUCAAGCAUCCAGGCACAGCAGAGAAAGUACAUUCUGUGCCUCAAGAGGAACUUUGGCCUGUGUUGUUAACUAGAGGAGAAAAAUUUCAAAAAGUUGCGUAUGACAUCGAGGUUAUUCUUUGAUCCUGCAUGAUGAAACAAAUGGGAUAAUCAGUUAGAUCAUGAUUUUUAAAAACAAGAUGAACAUUGUUCUGUUUCUUCUCCACCCAUGUGGAUGCACUGUUUCAUAAAAGGACUUAUACCUCAACACUUGUUUUGCAUCACAUCAUGAUUUUGGUAUUUAUUCCUUCAUUGAGUUUGAGAAAAUAAGAACUUUCUCUCCACCAGUGAUAAUGAUUAGAAAAUAUUUUGUCAAGCAUUUAAAAUGGUUAACAGUCCUCUGAAAUGUUAUGUUUUUUUUUUGUGGAUAUAUUUUUUUGGAUUAUGAUUCAUUCAUUCAAUUAUACUUGAUCCAUUGUGAAGAAAGGGCUAAUUAGACUGUCUAUACAUUAUUAAAUGACUUGCUGUUAAACUAUCUUACUCUUCUGUUACACAUUCAAAACUCAUUUUUAUAACAAAUCAUGUUCAUCCACUUUUUAGAUUACGAUCAUGGAGGCCUGUAGUGUUUCUUGCUGGUUCUCAACCAUUAAAUUGUCCAGAAAUUGCCCUCACCAAUGUAUGUACAUGUAAAUAAUCCUGAGUUUUUUUGUUUAUGAAUUAGGAAUAUCUAUAGUCCGUGUUAAGUGAAUAAUUCUGUUGAAUUGGAGUAACAAUUAAAGUUCCAGAGUCUAUGUCAAA